CUCACCCUGCUUUCUGUUGGGAAGGACAAUUUUCGUAUUAAUUCCAGCAGCAGUUGCUUUUAUUUCCUCUCUGGAAUAGGAGAAAGUCUAAUAUAUUUCCCAGCUGAACAAACCAAACAUUCUUUAAUUAUCUGCUUUUUGAACCUGUUCACACCAGUAAAGUUCCUAAUUUGCUAACUUCCUGUAUUAUUUUUUGAAGGUUUUCUCUAAAUAGCUGUGAGAAUUUGGCUUCUUACCUGCUUUUGCAACAGCAGUGUUUUGGGUACAAAAUCUUCAUCCCUCAGUUUUAACAGAAAAUGUAGAGCUUCUAAAGUCUUAUUUUUGAGCAUGAGUUAUGGGCCAGAUAUAAGAUGGAGUAGUUUUGGUUGAGUACUUUUGUCUCUGAAUGAAAGGAAAAAUUUGGGUAACUCCCUGAAUGAAUGCCCUGUGAAACAAUUGGGUUUGUGGAAGGUGGUUGUUUCAAGAAAGUGUAUGAGAGAAUAAAGUGUUUUGUACCUGGCUUAAUUUCAUGAAGGCCCUUUUCCCAAGUGGCUGAGAUUUGCCAUAAAUUCACAUGAACCUCAUUGUUCCUUUUGAUGGGAGUUUGGAGAGGCCGGGUCCCUUGAUUUUAUAUAAAAGGUUUGGAUCUAGAGCUGAUAAAUGACAAUAAACUACUACAUAACUUUUUUUUUUAAGUCAAAA